AGUUUGAUCAUGGCUCAGGAUGAACGCUGGCGGUAUGCUUAACACAUGCAAGUCGAACGGAUGUUUUCGGACAUUAGUGGCGGACGGGUGAGUAACGCGUGAGAAUCUAGCUUCAGGUUGGGGACAACAGUUGGAAACGACUGCUAAUACCGAAUAUGCCGAGAGGUGAAAGAUUUAUUGCCUGAAGAAGAGCUCGCGUCUGAUUAGCUAGUUGGUGGGGUAAGAGCUUACCAAGGCGACGAUCGGUAGCUGGUCUGAGAGGACGAUCAGCCACACUGGGACUGAGACACGGCCCAGACUCCUACGGGAGGCAGCAGUGGGGAAUUUUCCGCAAUGGGCGAAAGCCUGACGGAGCAAUACCGCGUGAGGGAAGAAGGCUCUUGGGUUGUAAACCUCUUUUCUUAGGGAAGAAAAAAAUGACGGUACCUAAGGAAUAAGCAUCGGCUAACUCCGUGCCAGCAGCCGCGGUAAUACGGAGGAUGCAAGCGUUAUCCGGAAUGAUUGGGCGUAAAGCGUCCGCAGGUGGUUUAUCAAGUUUGCGGUUAAAGGUUCUGGCUCAACCAGAGACAAGCCGUGAAAACUGAUAGACUAGAGUAUGGUAGGGGCAGAGGGAAUUCCCAGUGUAGCGGUGAAAUGCGUAGAGAUUGGGAAGAACACCGGUGGCGAAAGCGCUCUGCUAGGCCAAAACUGACACUGAGGGACGAAAGCUAGGGGAGCGAAUGGGAUUAGAUACCCCAGUAGUCCUAGCCGUAAACGA
rnacentral:rRNA from 1 species